GUGGCUUUCUCAGCCUCUCUGCUGGAUUCAGGCAGUGGAACCACUGGACCUUUCAACGCACUUACAACUUUGGUUUUCAGACAUGUUGUUACAAAUAUUGGAAAUGCCUACAACCCACAAUCAGGUUUUUUCAUUGCACCAGUGAGAGGCGCCUACCACUUUGAGUUCCACAUUGGUGCACAUGGAGAUACUUCACAUCCUUCAGGUGCAGUGCUGGUCAGGAAUGGACAGCAUGUUUGUAUUGCAUAUCAACAUCAGCCUUCCCAUUUUGGGAAGAGUUCUAAUGGUGUCACGUUGCUGUUAGAGGCUGGAGAUGUGGUGUUUUUGCGCUUGUCGACAAACGCAAGGAUUUAUGACAACGGGAAUCGCCAUAGUACCUUCAGUGGUCAUCUGCUCUUCGCCAUGUGAGCAGAACAAACCAAGUUUGUCUUAAUCUACUUUAUACAAUAGACAUGAAUGCAGUGUAUAUUGUGGUGGAAAUUUCUGUUAAAAAAAUAAAUGAAUAAAAAGAAAUCAGACGACUCUGGACACAGCACAGACAAGGAACCAGGCAGAGAGCUGUUAAUGAACAUCCAAUACACAGAGUACAUCUGUUUUAUAAUUCAUCUCUACUGGAGGACACGUAGUUCACUCCCUGACACCUCCCUUGAAAGAAGAGAACACAAAAACCUGUAGAACAUAGAACAUAUGACUCAACCGAUGGUAAAGCAGCAUCUAAGUGUUGUCUAUUGACUUUGUGAAACAUUUCCAUUACAGUAUCUUUUUACUUACUGAUACAACCUAUGAGAACA